rnacentral:rRNA from 1 species
CACGUAGGGUGCGAGCGUUGUCCGGAAUUAUUGGGCGUAAAGAGCUCGUAGGCGGUGUGUCGCGUCGGCCGUGAAAACCUGCAGCUUAACUGUGGGCUUGCGGUCGAUACGGGCAUCACUGGAGUUCGGCAGGGGAGACUGGAAUUCCUGGUGUAGCGGUGAAAUGCGCAGAUAUCAGGAGGAACACCAGUGGCGAAGGCGGUACUCUGGGCCGGAACUGACGCUGAGGAGCG